CGAUCGGAGGUGAAUAAGGUGAAUAGGAGUAAGAUUGAUUAUAUUCACACGCAAGGAAGUGCUUCUUUUGCACAGGGAAUGAAGAGGAUGGGACUAUCCGGAGUCGACGCCAAUGCUAAAUUCUAUCAAAACAAGAGUGGCGAGUUCGUGACCGAGGAGGUGAGGCAGCGUCAUG